rnacentral:rRNA from 1 species
AUGAGGGGCAGCAUGUUGCGUCCAGACGUCUCCGCCGCCGGCCUCUGUACACUCCGCUCCCCAGUCCCCACCUCCUCCGGUCCUCCCGCACGGCCGCUCCUCCGCGACGACACCAACCGUCCAGAAGCGGAGUCGCCGCCUCGACCCGGGGUCCCCCCGUCCCCGUCGUGGUCGGCACCACGCACAUCCUGA